AUGGAACCCUGAGGUGGGGCUUAUGGCCAACUGCCAGUGCCUCAGGAGGUGAAGAGUUUGUGAGUGAAGGGAGUCCUCAGCUUGUUGUCUUCUGAGACCCAAGGGGAUGUACAAGGUUCUGCUUCUCUGAACACAAGAGGAACCAGAAACGAAAGAAAAAUGUGUUAGCCACGCAGCAACAUGGUUUUCUUUAAAUCUAUACACGUAACUGAGUGGUGGGUUAAUCAGUUCGCUGACUGGCUAGCAGUGAUUUCAGCACAGGAAGAGUCUGCCUGGAUUGCAGCUGGGGAAUAAACAAGGGGAGGGAAGAUGUUGUUUUAGACUCAGCAGACUGUAGAGAUUUGGUGAUCAAAGACUCUGAGACUUAGGUGAACUCAGCUUAAGGCUUUGGCAACUCUUGGUUUCUUCUCACUGUGUUUCUGUGGGGACUAAACUGUUCAGAUUUUAAUUUGUUUUCUUUGUUUAUGUAUAACUGAAGGUAAUGUCUGUGGAUUACAAAAUAGCCACGUCACGCUGUAAAAAUUAGGAUUGUUUGUUUCUUUAUCAUAAGAUUUUAUAAAAGUUAUUUAACUCUGGGUCUCCAGCUACUUUUCUGUGGGAGCUGGGUUUUUUAGGCACCGGAGAAGGGCAGUGAAGUAUAU